CCAGUUCAACAACUGCUAUUUGCUCUCUUGUGAUCUAACCUAUCUUUCAGUGUUUUCUUUCUCUCACGAAGAAGAAAUGGCCGAAGCAAUCCUGUAUGGAGUUGCGCAGACGAUCAUUGAAAAUUUGGGCUCUAUGGCUUUCGCAGAGAUUGGAUCCGUGUGGGGUGUCAAAGAUGAGUUCGAAAAAUUGAAGGAUACUGUUUCCGCUGUUCAAGCUGUACUUCUGGAUGCUGAGGAGCAGCAGGGCAAAAGCCAUUGAGUCAAGCACUGGAUCAUGAAGCUUAGAGAUGCAGUCUAUGAUGCGGAUGACUUGCUGACCGAAUUCUACACUGAAGAUAUGCGUCAAAGGGUGAUGGGUGGUGAUCAAAUGGCAAAGAGGGUACGUACUUCUUUUACUACUUUCUUUUCGAGUUCAAACCAACUUGCUUUUCGUUAUGAUAUGGCUAAAAAAAUAACAUCGAUGAGGGAGAGAUUUGAUGCAAUAGCAAAUGAUAUGAAUAAGUUCCAGUUUGUAGUACAUCCUUUACAAACCGGGCUUUUGACUAGGGAGAGGGAGCAAACUUACUCUUUUGUAUGUGAAGAAGAAGUUAUUGGGAGAGAAGAGGAUAAGAAAGCCAUUAUGGAUCUAUUAUUGGACUAUGAUGUGCAAGAGAAUGUUUCGUUUAUAUCCAUAGUGGGGAUUGGAGGGCUGGGGAAGACUACACUUGCUCAAUAUGUAUACAAUGAUGAGAAAGUGAAUAAUUAUUUUGAGUUGCACAUGUGGGUGUGUGUCUCUGAUGUCUUUGACGUACAAAAAAUUGCUGAAAAGAUAAUUAAAUGUGCAAUUGGUUUGAAACUUGAAAACCUUGAAAUGGAGCAAGCACAAAAUGAACUUCGUAAAACACUCAACCAAAAAAAGUACUUACUUGUGUUGGAUGAUGUGUGGAAUGAGGAUGAAGAAAAGUGGUAUAAUUUGAAAAGACUAUUGAUGGGUGGCUCAAAGGGAAGUAAGGUGGUGAUAACUACACGGACUAAAUUGGUUGCAGAGAUUACUAGCACCAUCUCACCGUAUUAUCUACAAGGCCUCUCGAAAAACCAAUCUUGGUCUUUAUUUAAGCAAAUGGCAUUUAGAAAAAGGCAAGAGAUGAUUAAUCCUAAUCUUGAAGCAAUUGAAAUGGAUAUUGUACACAAAUGUUGUGGAGUGCCUCUUGCUAUUAAGGCAAUAGGGAGAAUACUAUACUUCAAAAAGACAGAGGAUGAAUGGUUAUAUAUCAAGAAUAAAUAACUUACAAAUGUAACUCAAGAAGAAAAUAAUAGUGGCAUUUUACCAAUUCUAAAAUUGAGCUAUGAUCAUCUCCCAUCACAUUUAAAGUGUUGUUUCGCUUAUUGUUCAUUGUUUCCUAAAGAUCAUGAGAUUUCAAAGUUAACAUUGAUAAAUCUAUGGAUAGCACAAGGAUUUAUAUCAUCAUCAAACGAAAAGCUACAUAUGGAGGAUGUUGCUAAUGAGUAUUGUAUGGACCUACUUUGGAGGUCCUUCUUCCAAGAAGCUAGAGAAGAUAGUUUUGGGAAUACAAUUAGUUUUAAAAUACAUGAUCUAAUCCAUGAUCUUGCUCAAUCAAUCUCAAGAGUUGAGUGCACAUAUAUUGAUUCAAAUAUAGAAAAUGUCAAUGAAAAUGUUUGCCACUUAUCAGUUGCAUCUGUUGGUGUGCUUGAGAAGGAUUUAAAUUCGCUAUUCAAAGCAAAAAAGAUACGCACAUUUAUUUUGGUGGAUCCAAAAAAGAAUUUCACUAAAAUUUUAGGAGAGGAAGAAUCUGGGGAAAUACUUUUUUCUAGUUUAAGAUGCUUGCGUGCAUUAGACCUACGUAACUCAUAUAUUACGGUGGUGUCAAAUUCUAUAGAAAAGUUAACAUAUUUAAAGUACCUUGAUCUUUCUGCGAAUAACAUUAAAGUUCUCCCUAGUUCUAUUACUAGAUUGUUGAAUUUGCAAACAUUAAACCUCAAUGGUUGUACUCUUCUUAAAGAACUACCGGGAAACAUUCAAAAAUGAUUCAACCUUCGGAAUCUUGAUUUAAAAGCUUAUUACAGUUUGACUCAUAUGCCACUUGGAUUAAGGCAGUUGACUUCUCUUCAAGUAUUACCGUUGUUUAUUGUAAACAAGGAACUUACUUGCAUUGGUCUUCCGGGAUUGAACAAGCUAAAUAACUUGAGAGGAGACCUAAGAAUUAGAAUUAAGGUACGAGUGAAAGAUGCCACCUCUAAAGCCAAGGCUGCGAAUUUGAAGGACAGGCAGCAUCUUAGAAAAUUGGAAUUAAUAUGGGGUAAGCUAGGUAAUGAUGUCGCAGGUGUUUGGGAAGAUGAAAAUUUAAUGGAAGGCCUCCGGCCACACCAGAAUUUAAAAUGGUUGACGGUGGUAGGGUACCAGGGUGUGAGAUUUCCGAGUUGGCUUCCUUCGCUAACUGGUCUUGUGAUAUUAGAAAUAUCACAAUCAAUGUGCCAACAUCUAUCACCAAUGUAUCAACUCCCAAAUCUCCGAAAUCUAUCUCUAGAAUUUAUGGAUGGUCUGGAAUACAUAUCAGACCGGGAAAUCACUGAAGAGAUCUCUGCUUCAUCAACAUUUUUCCCAUCCCUAAAGUCACUCAAAUUGUGGAGCUGCCCUAAUCUAAAGGGAUGGUGGAGGAGGGAUACAGUGGGUGUGGUAACAUCAAGUCAUCAGUACCAGUCGCAUGUAUCAUUGCCUUCUUUUCCUCGGCUUUUACAAUUGGAAAUUUCUUUUUGCGAAAACCUGACUUGCAUGCCAUUGUUUCCAAAUCUUGAAGAACAGCUACGACUAACAGUUUCCAGUUGCAAUCCAUUGCAACAAACAAUGAAUAUGAUAGUUAUCUUUUCGAUUCCCUCUGCUUCGAACUCCUCCCCUCCUCUCUCCAAAUUAAAGUUUCUAUCUUUGGAUAGGAUUCAGGACAUAGAGUUACUGCCAGAGCAGUGGUUGCAAAACCUGGCUUCUCUCGAGGAGCUAGAGAUAAAGGGAUGCGAUAGACUAAAAUCUCUAUCUCUGUCUCUAUUUAUGCAACAUCUGACCUCCCUCAAGAAGCUAUCUAUUAGCUGGUGCGAGGAGGUUGAUCUGUUCGAUCAUGAAGACACAAUCUGUUGGUGUUAGCCCUCUGCAACGCCUCACAAUUGAUGGAUGCCACAAUCUCAUAUCACUUCCCGAAGAGAUUGGCAACCUUACUGCGCUUCAGACACUUGAAAUUUCUGGUUUGCCCAAUCUGAUAUCACUUCCCAAAGGGAUUAGAAGUCUCACAUCACUCAAAAGAUUUGAAGUCCGUUCAUGCCACAAUCUAACAUCACUUCCAUUAGGAAUGCAUCGGCUCUCCUCUUUACAAACCCUGAUAAUCGCUGCCUGUCCCCACUUGAAAGAAAGAUACCAGAAGGGAAUUGGCGAGAUUGGUCAUGUCCCAAAUUUUCAAUAUUAUGAUUCUUAGUAUUAAGAAUUAAAUUCUUGUUCGGUAACCAAUAUGCUUCGGCUUCUUCGGAUUUAUUCAAAGCAUUGUACAAUUGCCAAGGAAACAUGGGACGGACGAUUGCCUAAAAUUGCUCACGAAUGAACCCAAUGGGUAACCCUAUUCUUGAUUUAGUUAAUGAAAAUACAAAUCCUCAUUUUGCAUGCAAAAUGCUACGGAUAUUAGUUUCAUCUUCUACCCAUACCUUUUUGAGGAUUCAGUUUUAGGCAAUUGCAAGUUGCUAUUUGGGAUGUUCUAUGCCUACCCUAUGGAGCAUCAGUUUUCUUGUUCAUAUCAGAAUAUUACAAGGAAAAUUUGGAGUGCCCCUAGAAGAAAAUAUUGAAAUUUAUGAAUGCCCAAAUCUGAUAUCACUUCUUGAAGAAAUGAGUUGCCUCUCCUAUUUACAAACUUGACAAUCAUUGACUGUCCUUGCUUGAAAGAAAGAUACCAGGAGAGAAUGGCAAGGAUUGGUUUGCUCAUGUCCCACAUGUUCACAUACUUUUGAAUUAAGGAUUAAAUUCUUGUUUAGCAACCAAUAUGCUUCUGCUUCUUUGGAUAUUUUCAAAGCACUAUACAAACAACUGAAAGGGUGCAAAGGAAUCAUGGGAGGAUUGCCUAAAAUUGCUCACAUGGAUGAACCCAAUUCCUCACGUUUUCUGAUAUGAGUAAUCCCAAUUCUUUGUUUUCUUUGGAUCUUUCUACUGAAAGACAUUGGCAUUUAUAUAUAAGGAAUUAAACCCAGCAGGAAAGGGGGCAUGCCACUGGUACCAUUGCUCUCAUAUGCAAAAGCAAUUGAAUUAUAGAAAAAGUCUCAUUGUUGUACUUUUUCUUGUUUAAAAACUUUUGGGCUCUGCAAUUGUGCGAAUAGUCAACAACUAGGUGGGUUGGUACCUUCUAUUUCCUUUAUUUUCUUCUCUCAUAAAAUUUGACCUGAAAGUGUUAUACAUAAACCUAUCUUUUGCUUCUUCAUCCAAAUAAUUUCUAUUGUAUCUCAUAAAUAAGUUGUUAAAGGUGAUAUACUUGGCUUAUUGAUUUAGGUGCAUAAAAAGAUUGAAAAAUGCUGAUAUUGGAGUGAUAUUGUUGUUGAAGAUCAACUUAGAUAACUGAUCCCGUACCAGUAUUUAGUUGCUGAAUUUUUUUUGUAUGUAUUAGCUUGUACCAUGUCAUGUUUUGCUCAAAUUUUAAGAUAUUUUAACACAUAGAUUGCUAUGCUUUCUUGAAUUAUUGUUGUGUUAUUUGUGUAGUGUGAUUGAAUUAAAAGCACAGCUUGAAAUUUUGAGAGUAGAAAUGCAAUAGAUUUUAGAUAGUUUCCAAAUUAUGCAUUUAAUUACCACCAAAAAAAAAAAAAAAAAAACA